GUUUUUUUUUUUUGUUUUUUUUUUACAAGUCCAGUCUCUCAGGUUUCUUGAUCUCUCGUGCAGACCUCCUGAGCACAGGCUUGCUUGAAUUGUCUAUGCCGGUGCCACUCCGGUCACGUGGCAAGAUGGUUUUAUUUGGAUCUCAGUGACUUCUGAAGAAGCUUCUGGUAUUUUCAAAAGGCUUUGCCGAUUUCGACGAAUGAUUUGUCCAUCUUCAGUCCUUACACUGAAUGACCUUUGAGCCACUUCUUCGAGAACGGUAGCCUUGGUGUUCCAACCAUUUUGGUCCUCAAUCCUGACUGUGUCCUCAACUGCUAAUGGUCAAAGUUGCUUGGCUCUUCUGUUAUAAAAUGACUUUUGCUUCAUCUUUAAUUUUACAUGUGUUAUGACACACGCCGAUGACAAGUUUGAAAGCAGUGCCAUUUCAGGGAAGUUAGAGUGGUAGUCAAUGACCACUAAAUAGUCUUUGCCUUUAACAUGAAAUAAAUCCAUCCCUACUUUGUACCAUGGCGCUGUUGGUGUUUCAUCAACAACCAUAGAUUCUUUGGUCUGUUUGUUGCAAUACUUCUGACAUGUCUCACACCUUCUUAUCAUGUUCUCAAUGUCUCUGUUCCUCCCAGGCCAAAAGGCUGUCUCUCUUGCCCUUCUUUUGCAUUUCUCAAUUCCGGGAUGCUCUUCAUCUAUUUAGAUGGAGGAUCACUAACAGGAGCGUGGGAAGACUCCAGAAUCCACUCUGGCUGGAAUCUGGUGGAUACAGCAGUGUUACAGUCCUCUGACAGACUGGUACCUGUCCAGGUGUGCUCUACCUAUGACUACUGGGACAGGCUCUAAUAGAAAGUUUCUAUUAUUCUCAUUUAAGGUAUUUAAGUGCUUAUGCAUAUGCUUAGUUGUGACACUGUUAUAGACUGUUCAGUGAAAGUUUUUAAAACUAGAUGAACUUACUUCAGCAUCAGCAGUUUGAGAAAACAACUCCCUUUACAGGUGCUGAUAAGGCCAAGGGCACAAAACAGCUUAACCAUUGAUCUGUUAUGUUUCAUUGCGAGACGCGUGAAGUGUGGUAUGAUCAGUUUGUAACUUCCUCCCUCUUCCUUGGAAUGCAAAGAGGAGUGUGAGCACCACUUCUGUGGCAGAGCUGACAUGACUGUGAACUUUGAUGUUUGAUGCGUGUUGGCUCUCCUGCACGCAGUAAUAAAUAGCUUGAUCACAGCUCUUUCUGUGUUGCAGACUUUAUUUACAAAAUUCCACAACACCCCCCCCACCCUCC
ensembl:lncRNA